AGCAGCAGCCGCGGGAAAACGGAGGGUGCAAGCGUUAAUCGGAAUUACUGGGCGUAAAGCGCACGCAGGCGGUCUGUCAAGUCGGAUGUGAAAUCCCCGGGCUCAACCUGGGAACUGCAUUCGAAACUGGCAGGCUAGAGUCUUGUAGAGGGGGGUAGAAUUCCAGGUGUAGCGGUGAAAUGCGUAGAGAUCUGGAGGAAUACCGGUGGCGAAGGCGGCCCCCUGGACAAAGACUGACGCUCAGGUGCGAAAGCGUGGGGAGCAAACAGGAUUAGAUACCCGUGUAGUCCCUGUCUCUUAUAC
rnacentral:rRNA from 1 species